GCUUGUUUGUAUGUGUGUGUGUGUGUGUGUGUGUGUGAGAGCGUGUGUUUGGGAUGAGCGUUUGCGAGUGAACGCUUGUUUGUGGGUCUGUGUGUGUUAAAAUCAACCAGCAUUUUUUUUUUUUUUUUUUUUUGACUGCUUUAAUUGUAUUUUCUUUAAUUUUGGUAUUCUGUUUUGUGGUUUUGAGAAUUGUGGGUAGCUACUCUUAUCUUUGAUUGUCAAUUCCCUUAUAACCAACAAGGGCUAUAAUCUGCUGGGAGGGUUUA